GUCCACGCCCUAAACGAUGUCGACUGGUUGUUGGGGGUUUGACACUCUCAGUAACGAAGCUAACGCGUGAAGUCGACCGCCUGGGGAGUACGGCCGCAAGGUUAAAACUCAAAGGAAUUGACGGGGACCCGCACAAGCGGUGGAUUAUGUGGAUUAAUUCGAUGCAACGCGAAAAACCUUACCUACCCUUGACAUGUCCGGAAGGCUGAAGAGAUUUGGCUGUGCCCGAAAGGGAACCGGAACACAGGUGCUGCAUGGCUGUCGU
rnacentral:rRNA from 1 species